ACUGUUGAGAGCUGAAUCUCUCUAUGUUACACCGUUGAAAAAUGUAGCGUAUAGGUGUUCCUUUCAGUUUAUGCUGCAUAUCCAAAGUCCCUUUGAUAGGUGCCACAUUCCGGAGAGAGUGCAGGACCUGGGCGGACAGUGGAGCAAGCUGUACCGCUAUAUCUUGGAAAGCUUGGUUGCUUGAAAGUGCAGCCUAAAGCGGCUGAUAAACCUCAUCUAAGACUAAAUAUAGACGCGAAUUCGAUAGCAAGCAAGUAGUGUGAGG
rnacentral:ncRNA from 1 species